UCUUCCAUCAUCCUAACGAGGUAAUUUCUCAAGGGCGCCUUACAGCUCUCGUUCAUACAAUGUAUACUCUCUACACUCGGGAAUGACAUGUCAAAUCCCUUUAAUCCGUCAUCCAUAGAAUGGAAGACGAAUUGAGGAUGAUUGGAAUAAUUAGGAGCAUUGUGUUGAGUAUGUGCAACUAUAACAGAAAAGCCUUGUGAACGAAGGAUACUUCCAAGCUGCAGCAUUGGUGUUAAAUGCCCCUGGAGAAGAGGGAGGUGCUGUAACACCCGAGGAGGUGCGAGAGUCGAGAGAUUAAUGGUAGGAAUACGCGGAAGGGUGAGGUGUUGGUGGAGCGGGUCUUGAUGGCAACGCAGAAAUGAAGUCUACCAAAUCAUUCAGAUUCUUAUGUGAAGUACCAU